GUAGGUGGCAAGCGUUGUCCGGAAUUAUUGGGCGUAAAGCGCGCGCAGGCGGUUCUUUAAGUCUGAUGUGAAAGCCCACGGCUCAACCGUGGAGGGUCAUUGGAAACUGGAGAACUUGAGUACGGAAGAGGAAAGCGGAAUUCCACGUGUAGCGGUGAAAUGCGUAGAGAUGUGGAGGAACACCAGUGGCGAAGGCGGCUUUCUGGUCUGUAACUGACGCUGAGGCGCGAAAGCGUGGGGAGCAAACAGGGAUUAGAUACCCUGGUAGUCCACGCCGUAAACGAUGAGUGCUAAGUGUUAGGGGGUUUCCCGCCCCUUAGUGCUGCAGCUAACGCAUUAAGCACCCCGCUGGGGAGUACGGCCGCAAGGCUG
rnacentral:rRNA from 1 species